rnacentral:lncRNA from 1 species
AGAGAGAGAGAGAGAGAGAGAGAGAGAGAGAGUAGGGCUACUAUACUCUUAUGAGUAUAGAACCCUUACUACUCAUAAGUUGUUUCGAUAUUGGAGUUUUCAAAUCGACGAUCCACACCGUUAAAUAUGAUCUAGAGUAUUUGAAACUUCUAGAAAUCAAAUUUCAUAAUUUUUCGACAUCAUUACUUACGAUCAAAAGCUCACAAAAUUGACAAUUUUUAACAGCCGGUAUGGAAUACUUGCUAGUUUAACGGUGGAAAAGAAUCGGAAUAGGUUGAAUUUUUGAUGGAAAAUUCUAUUCACUACCUAGAUAAAGAUCAAUAACUCCGAUCUUAAAUUGAAGGAUCCGAUUAUCCAUUUUUAGGAUGUCGUUCGAUUUUGACUGUUCAUUUUAUGCCCGCUUGAUGGACUUUAUUAUGAUUUCGAAAAUUACGAAAUUUAUUUUCUAGAAGUUUUAAAUACUCUAGAUCAUAUUUAACGGAGUGGAUCGUCGAUUCGGAAACUCCAUCAUCGAAAACAACUUAUGAGUACUAAGGGCCCACUACUC